rnacentral:misc_RNA from 1 species
GUAGGUGAACCUGCGGAGGGAUCAUUACUGAGUGAGGGCCGAAAGGCCCGACCUCCAACCCUUUGUCAUCCGACUCUGUUGCCUCGGGGGCGACCCGGCCUUCGGGCGUCUUGGGGCCCCCGGUGGAAAUAUAACACUGCAUCUUUGCGUCUGAGUAAACCUUUGAAUAAAUCAAAACUUUUAACAACGGAUCUCUUGGUUCUG